rnacentral:rRNA from 1 species
GAUGAACGCUGGCGGCGUGCCUAAUACAUGCAAGUCGAGCGAAUGGAUUAAGAGCUUGCUCUUAUGAAGUUAGCGGCGGACGGGUGAGUAACACGUGGGUAACCUGCCCAUAAGACUGGGAUAACUCCGGGAAACCGGGGCUAAUACCGGAUAACAUUUUGAACCGCAUGGUUCGAAAUUGAAAGGCGGCUUCGGCUGUCACUUAUGGAUGGACCCGCGUCGCAUUAGCUAGUUGGUGAGGUAACGGCUCACCAAGGCAACGAUGCGUAGCCGACAGGAGAGGGUGAUCGGCCACACUGGGACUGAGACACGGCCCAGACUCCUACGGGAGGCAGCAACAGGGAAUCUUCCGCAAUGGACGAAAGUCUGACGGAGCAACGCCGCGUGAGUGAUGAAGGCUUUCGGGUCGUAAAACUCUGUUGUUAGGGAAGAACAAGUGCUAGUUGAAUAAGCUGGCACCUUGACGGUACCUAACCAGAAAGCCACGGCUAACUACGUGCCAGCCGCCGCCGUAA